rnacentral:rRNA from 1 species
UACGAAGGUGGCAAGCGUUACUCGGAUUUACUAGGCGUAAAGGGCAGGUAGGUGGUUUGAUAAGUCUGUUGUGGAAGCUUCCGGCUUAACUGGGAGAGGUCAACAGAAACUAUCAGGCUUGAGUAUGGGAGAGGGUACUGGAAUUCCCGGUGUAGCGGUGAAAUGCGCAGAGAUCGGGAGGAACACCAAUGGCGAAAGCAGGUGCCUGGACCAUUACUGACACUCAGCUGCGAAAGCUAGGGGAG